rnacentral:lncRNA from 10 species
AGAAUCCUAGAAAGAAAUUAAGGACUUGUUUCCAGAGAAGAGGGGAACAGAUAUUCAGAGGUUAAAUCAAUAGAUAUUGACUCUCCUAGGCAAAGAGGAGAAUGAAAUCCUUGUGAUCAGACAGCACAGAGUCCAGAGGCCUUGUUGAUAAAAGAGAUGGAAUUUGUGGAAAUACUGAGUGAUCCAUUCUCAUUUAGAUGUCCAAUUAACUCCCAUUCACGUCAGCUUUAUUAAUUUAUUGACCACCUAAUAUGUCCCAGACUUUGUGCUUGGAGUUGAAGAGACUUUUGUGAAUAACAACUCAGCCAACAAGUCCAUGAAUUUUCAAAGGCUCCAUGUUUAUUCCGUGCACAUUUAGAAGACCUUGCAAAUUUCACCACUAUGAAAUUAAAUUUCACAUGGCCUAAUUAGAAUAUCCGCACCCCUAAAUUAUUGCAAUUGCAGAGAAUCGGAGGGUUCAAAGGAAAGCAGGGCACUCACGUAAUUCACCACAACCCCCAGGCUGCUGGAACACUUGGUUAACUUUUGACCUUGGCCAACUCCAGUGACCACUUGAAGGGAAGAAAGUGCCAUCCCAGGAUUGCCCAUGAUUACUCUUGGGUGGUUAGACCCCUAACUGUGUGCGUCAAUCUGGAGAUGUUGUUACUGUUCAAAAGAGGGGGACAUGAACCACAAAUUAAUUGGUUUUACAUAGGCUUUUAAAACCAACAAAAUUAACUUUUUAAUAUUGUUCAUGAAACGAAAUACAAACCCUUUAUUAUUUUAAAUUUUAGUGUCUGGACACUUUUGAAGUGGUUUUGUCCGUUUUUUUUCAUAAAAUACUGCCACUGCUCCAUUACUGUUUGUGAGGAAGAAAGUAUAAUAACACAUUGUUUUCUCUGCCCCCGCCACCACCCCACCAUGGUUCCUGUUUUUAUAUAUAUAUAUGUAUAUAUGUG